rnacentral:rRNA from 1 species
AAUGAACGUUGGCGGCGUGGAUUAGGCAUGCAAGUCGAGCGCGAACCGUAGCAAUACGGGGAGAGCGGCGAAAGGGGAGAGGAAUACGUGGAUACCUACCCUCAGGUUCAGGAUAGCUAUGGGAAACUAUAGGUAAUACUGAAUAAUAUCUCCGGAUCAAAGGUGUGAUUCCACCUGAGGAGGGGUCCGCGUCCUAUUAGCUAGUUGGUGAGGUAACGGCUCACCAAGGCGAAGAUGGGUACGGGAUGUGAGAGCAUGAUCCCGCUCACUGGGACUGAGACACUGCCCAGACACCUACGGGUGGCUGCAGUCGAGAAUCUUCGGCAAUGGGGGAAACCCUGACCGAGCGACGCCGCGUGCGAGAUGAAGGCCUCGGUUGUAAAUCGCUGUCAGUGGGAGGAAAGUGCCAGUGGGUUAUCCCAUUGGUUGACCGUAUCCGCAGAGGAAGGACGGGCUAAGUUCGUGCCAGCAG